GAUGAACGCUGGCGGCGUGCCUAAUACAUGCAAGUCGAGCGAACAGACGAGGAGCUUUCUCCUCUGACGUUAGCGGCGGACAGGUGAGUAACACGUGGAUAACCUACCUAUAUGACUGGGAUAACUUCGGGAAACCGGAGCUAAUACAGGAUAAUCUAUUCAACCGCAGGGUCCAAUAGUGAAAGACGGUUUUGCUGUUACUUAUAGAUGGAUCCGCGCCGCAUUAGCUAGUUGGUAAGGUAACGGCUUACCAAGGCGACGAUGGGUAGCCGACCUGGGAGGUUGACCGGCCACACUGGACCUGAGACACGGUCCAGACUCCUAGGGGAGGCAGCAGUGGGGAAUCUUCCGCAAUGGGCGAAAGCCUGACGGAGCAACGCCGCGUGAGUGAUGAGGGUCUUCGGAUCGUAAAACUCUGUUAUUAGGGAAGAACAAAUGUGUAAGUAACUAUGCACGUCUUGACGGUACCUAAUCAGAAAGCCACGGCUAACUACGUG
rnacentral:rRNA from 1 species